rnacentral:rRNA from 1 species
AGUGAACGCUGGCGGUAGGCCUAACACAUGCAAGUCGUACGGCAGCACAGUAAGAGCUUGCUCUUACGGGUGGCGAGUGGCGGACGGGUGAGGAAUACAUCGGAAUCUACUUUUUCGUGGGGGAUAACGUAGGGAAACUUACGCUAAUACCGCAUACGACCUACGGGUGAAAGCAGGGGAUCUUCGGACCUUGCGCGAUUGAAUGAGCCGAUGUCGGAUUAGCUAGUUGGCGGGGUAAAGGCCCACCAAGGCGACGAUGCGUAGCUGGUCUGAGAGGAUGAUCGGCGACACGAGAAAUGAGACACGGACGAGAGUCCUACGGGAGGCAGCAGUAGGGAAUGGUGCGCAAUGGGCGCAAGCCGGACGGAGCAACGGUGCGUGAGUGAUGAAGGUCUUCGGAUCGUAAACCGCUGUUAUUAGGGAAGAACAAAUGUGUAAGUAAAUAUGCACGUCUUGACGGUACCUAAUCAGAAAGCCACGGCUAACUACGUG